UGAGGAACAUGACCUUCGGCGGGGUUAGCCGGCCCAACGGCCGGGUAAUACCGCGUACGACCACAUGGGGACAUCCCUGAGUGGUGAAAGCAGCAAUGCGCCGAUGGAGUGCCUCGCGGCCUAUCAGCUAGUUGGUGAGGUAACGGCUCACCAAGGCAACGACGGGUAGCUGGUCUGAGAGGAUGGCCAGCCACAUUGGGACUAAAACNCGCCAGACCUCCGUACGGGAGGNAGCG
rnacentral:rRNA from 1 species